CACGUAGUUAGCCGUGGCUUAUUCGACAGGUACCGUCUUCUGCUCUUCCCUGUCAAAAGAAGUUUACAACCCGAAAGCCUUCUUCCUUCACGCGGCGUUGCUGGGUCAGGCUUGCGCCCAUUGCCCAAUAUUCCCCACUGCUGCCUCCCGUAGGAGUCUGGGCCGUAUCUCAGCCCCAAUGUGGCCGGCCAACCUCUCAGUCCGGCUACUGAUCGUCGCCUUGGUAGGCCGUUACCCUACCAACUAGCUAAUCAGACGCGAGGCCAUCUCUCAGCGAUAAAUCUUUGGUACCAGUACCAUGCGAUACCCGUACGUUAUGCGGUAUUAGCAGUCGUUUCCAACUGUUGUCCCCCUCUGAAAGGCAGGUUCCUCACGCGUUACUCACCCGUCCGCCACUAAGUAGUCCUCUCCAUUGACCGAAAUCUCUUUCGAGGGUACUCCGUUCGACUUGCAUGUGUUAAGCACGCCGCCAGCGUUCGUCCUGAGCCAGGAUCAAACUCU
rnacentral:rRNA from 1 species